AUUGAACGCUGGCGGCAGGCCUAACACAUGCAAGUCGAACGGUAACAGGAAGAAGCUUGCUUCUUUGCUGACGCGUGGCGGACGGGUGAGUAAUGUCUGGGACACUGCCUGAUGGAGGGGGAUAACUACUGGAAACGGUAGCUAAUACCGCAUAACGUCGCAAGACCAAAGAUGGGGACCUUCGGGCCUCUUGCCUUCGGCUGUGACCAGAUGGGAUUAGCUAGUAGGUGGGGUAACGGCUAACCUAGGCGACGAUCCCUAGCUGGUCUGAGAGGAUGACCAGCCACACUGGAACUGAGACACGGUCCAGACUCCUACGGGAGGCAGCAGUGGGGAAUAUUGCACAAUGGGCGAAAGCCUGAUGCAGCCAUGCCGCGUGUAUGAAGAAGGCCUUCGGGUUGUAAAGUACUUUCAGCGGGGAGGAAGGGAGUAAAGUUAAUACCUGUGCUCAUUGACGUUACCCGAAGAAGAAGCCCCGGCUAACUCCGUG
rnacentral:rRNA from 1 species